rnacentral:rRNA from 1 species
AGUGAACGCUGGCGGUAGGCCUAACACAUGCAAGUCGAACGGCAGCACAGUAAGAGCUUGCUCUUACGGGUGGCGAGUGGCGGACGGGUGAGGAAUACAUCGGAAUCUACUUUUUCGUGGGGGAUAACGUAGGGAAACUUACGCUAAUACCGCAUACGACCUACGGGUGAAAGCAGGGGAUCUUCGGACCUUGCGCGAUUGAAUGAGCCGAUGUCGGAUUAGCUAGUUGGCGGGGUAAAGGCCCACCAAGGCGACGAUCCGUAGCUGGUCUGAGAGGAUGAUCAGCCACACUGGAACGGAGACACGGUCCAGACUCCUACGGGAGGCAGCAGUGGGGAAUAUUGGACAAUGGGCGCAAGCCUGAUCCAGCCAGACCGCGUGUGUGAAGAAGGCCUUCGGGUUGUAAAGCCCUUUUGUUGGGAAAGAAAAGCAGCAGGUUAAUACCCCGCUGUUCUGACGGUACCCAAAGAAUAAGCACCGGCUAACUUCGUG